rnacentral:rRNA from 1 species
AGAGUUUGAUCCUGGCUCAGAUUGAACGCUGGCGGCAUGCCUUACACAUGCAAGUCGAACGGCAGCGCGGGGCAACCUGGCGGCGAGUGGCGAACGGGUGAGUAAUAUAUCGGAACGUGCCCUGGAGUGGGGGAUAACGCAGCGAAAGUUGCGCUAAUACCGCAUACGAUCUAAGGAUGAAAGCAGGGGACCGCAAGGCCUUGUGCUCCUGGAGCGGCCGAUAUCUGAUUAGCUAGUUGGUGGGGUAAAGGCCUACCAAGGCAUCGAUCAGUAGCUGGUCUGAGAGGACGACCAGCCACACUGGAACUGAGACACGGUCCAGACUCCUACGGGAGGCAGCAGUGGGGAAUUUUGGACAAUGGGCGAAAGCCUGAUCCAGCAAUGCCGCGUGAGUGAAGAAGGCCUU